AUAGAUUCACCUUUUUCGGAAUCUUCUGAAGUUAAUCAAAUUUUUGACCUGGAAGUUACCGGCAGACCCUGAACUGUUAUUUCAUCUGUGAAAACAUUUUGCCAGCUGGUGUUACAGCUGAGGCGACUGCUGUGAGGGCCAACUUCUGCCACCGCGGGAAAGAUGCUCUCUUGCUGUGCCACGGAGCACUUCAACACACCGUGGAGUCCGCUGCCAGUUCCACACAACGAUCUGUGGGAGGUCAGGUUCCCAAAUAGUGCCGGAAAGCUGAAGAGAUGGGAAGUGCAGCCUUGGCC